GUAGUACUCCCUCCGUCCGAAAAUACUUGUCAUCAAAAUAGAUAAAAAGGGAUAUAUCUAGAACUAAAAUACAUCUAGAUACAUCCCCUUUUAUUCAUUUUGAUGACAAGUAUUUCCGGACGGAGGGAGUACUAA
rnacentral:pre_miRNA from 1 species